UACAUAGGGUGCAAGCGUUGUCCGGAAUUAUUGGGCGUAAAGAGCUCGUAGGUGGUUCGUCACGUCGGAUGUGAAACUCUGGGGCUCAACCCCAGACCUGCAUUCGAUACGGGCGAGCUUGAGUAUGGUAGGGGAGUCUGGAAUUCCUGGUGUAGCGGUGGAAUGCGCAGAUAUCAGGAGGAACACCAAUGGCGAAGGCAGGUCUCUGGGCCAAUACUGACACUGAGGAGCGAAAGUCUGGGGAGCGAACAGG
rnacentral:rRNA from 1 species